rnacentral:rRNA from 2 species
GAUAAACCCCGUGGUAAUUCUAGAGCUAAUACAUGCUUAAAACCCCGACUCACGAAGGGGUGUAUUUAUUAGAUUAAAAACCAAUGCCCUUCGGGGCUCUUUGGUGAUUCAUAAUAACUUUUCGAAUCGCAUGGCCUUGCGCCGGCGAUGGUUCAUUCAAAUUUCUGCCCUAUCAACUUUCGAUGGCAGGGUCUUGGCCUGCCAUGGUGACAACGGGUAACGGAGGGUUAGGGCUCGACCCCGGAGAAGGAGCCUGAGAAACGGCUACUACAUCCAAGGAAGGCAGCAGGCGCGCAAAUUACCCAAUCCCGACUCGGGGAGGUAGUGACAAUAAAUACUGAUACAGGGCUCUUUUGGGUCUUGUAAUUGGAAUGAGUACAAUUUAAAUCCCUUAACGAGGAACAAUUGGAGGGCAAGUCUGGUGCCAGCAGCCGCGGUAAUUCCAGCUCCAAUAGCGUAUAUUAAAGUUGUUGCAGUUAAAAAGCUCGUAGUUGAACCUUGGGCCUGGCUGGCCGGUCCGCCUCACCGCGUGCACUGGUUCGGCCGGGCCUUUCCCUCUGGGGAACCGCAUGCCCUUCACUGGGUGUGUCGGGGAACCAGGACUUUUACUGUGAAAAAAUUAGAGUGUUCAAAGCAGGCCUAUGCUCGAAUACAUUAGCAUGGAAUAAUAGAAUAGGACGUGUGGUUCUAUUUUGUUGGUUUCUAGGACCGCCGUAAUGAUUAAUAGGGACAGUCGGGGGCAUCAGUAUUCAAUUGUCAGAGGUGAAAUUCUUGGAUUUAUUGAAGACUAACUACUGCGAAAGCAUUUGCCAAGGAUGUUUUCAUUAAUCAGAACGAAAGUUAGGGAUCGAAGACGAUCAGAUACCGUCGUAGUCUUAACCAUAAACUAUGCCGACUAGGAUCGGGNGAUGUUAUUAUUUUGACUCGCUCGGCACCUUACGAGAAAUCAAAGUNCUUUGGGUUCUGGGGGGGGAGUAUGGGUCNCAAGGCUGAAACCUUAANNANNGNNGANGCACCCACCNGGGUGGGNNCCUGCGGCUU